GUGUUUGCUUUAGCAGCACAUAUACUAAAAAUUGGAAUAAUAUAUAUGAUUAGCAUUACUCCCACACAAGGAUGACAUGUAAAUUCAUGAAGUGUUAAAAAAAAAA
rnacentral:snRNA from 1 species